rnacentral:rRNA from 1 species
CCUUAGAGUUUGAUCAUGGCUCAGAUUGAACGCUGGCGGCAGGCCUAACACAUGCAAGUCGAGCGGUAACAGAAAGUAGCUUGCUACUUUGCUGACGAGCGGCGGACGGGUGAGUAAUGCUUGGGAACAUGCCUUGAGGUGGGGGACAACAGUUGGAAACGACUGCUAAUACCGCAUAAUGUCUACGGACCAAAGGGGGCUUCGGCUCUCGCCUUUAGAUUGGCCCAAGUGGGAUUAGCUAGUUGGUGAGGUAAUGGCUCACCAAGGCGACGAUCCCUAGCUGGUUUGAGAGGAUGAUCAGCCACACUGGGACUGAGACACGGCCCAGACUCCUACGGGAGGCAGCAGUGGGGAAUAUUGCACAAUGGGCGCAAGCCUGAUGCAGCCAUGCCGCGUGUGUGAAGAAGGCCUUCGGGUUGUAAAGCACUUUCAGUCAGGAGGAAAGCGUGGUGGUUAAUACCCAUCAUGUGUGACGUUACUGACAGAAGAAGCACCGGCUAACUCCGUGCCAGCAGCCGCGGUAAUACGGAGGGUGCGAGCGUUAAUCGGAAUUACUGGGCGUAAAGCGUACGCAGGCGGUUUGUUAAGCGAGAUGUGAAAGCCCCGGGCUCAACCUGGGAACUGCAUUUCGAACUGGCAAACUAGAGUGUGAUAGAGGGUGGUAGAAUUUCAGGUGUAGCGGUGAAAUGCGUAGAGAUCUGAAGGAAUACCGAUGGCGAAGGCAGCCACCUGGGUCAACACUGACGCUCAUGUACGAAAGCGUGGGGAGCAAACGGGAUUAGAUACCCCGGUAGUCCACGCCGUAAACGAUGUCUACUAGAAGCUCGGAGCCUCGGUUCUGUUUUUCAAAGCUAACGCAUUAAGUAGACCGCCUGGGGAGUACGGCCGCAAGGUUAAAACUCAAAUGAAUUGACGGGGGCCCGCACAAGCGGUGG